rnacentral:rRNA from 1 species
UGAGGAAUAUUGGACAAUGGGCGCAAGCCUGAUCCAGCCAUGCCGCGUGCAGGAUGACGGUCCUAUGGAUUGUAAACUGCUUUUUGUACAGGAAGAAACAGUUCUACGUGUAGAACCUUGACGGUACUGUAAGAAUAAGGAUCGGCUAACUCCGUGCCAGCAGCCGCGGUAAUACGGAGGAUCCAAGCGUUAUCCGGAAUCAUUGGGUUUAAAGGGUCCGUAGGCGGUUAGAUAAGUCAGUGGUGAAAGCCCAUCGCUCAACGGUGGAACGGCCAUUGAUACUGUCUGACUUGAAUUAUUAGGAAGUAACUAGAAUAUGUAGUGUAGCGGUGAAAUGCUUAGAGAUUACAUGGAAUACCAAUUGCGAAGGCAGGUUACUACUAAUGGAUUGACGCUGAUGGACGAAAGCGUGGGUAGCGAACAGGAUUAGAUACCCUAGUAGUCCCUGAGCGGGCUGGCAAGGCGCAU